CGGGUGAGUAAUACAUAAGUAACUUGCCCUGGACAGGGGGAGUAACUAUUGGAAACGAUAGCUAAGACCGCAUAGGUACGGACACUGCAUGGUGACCGUAUUAAAAGUGCCUCAAAGCACUGGUAGAGGAUGGACUUAUGGCGCAUUAGCUGGUUGGCGGGGUAACGGCCCACCAAGGCGACGAUGCGUAGCCGACCUGAGAGGGUGACCGGCCACACUGGGACUGAGACACGGCCCAGACUCCUACGGGAGGCAGCAUG
rnacentral:rRNA from 1 species